rnacentral:lncRNA from 1 species
GUGAUCCGCCCACCUUGGCCUCCCAAAGUACUGGGGUUACAGGCUUGAGCCACCACGCCUGGCUGAAAACCUUCCCAUUUCUUUAAGUCUCUUCCUUUACACUUUCAUUCUUGGUAUUCACUUAUUUGAAAAUAGUGCCUUCCUGGCUACCAAUUAUGAACAGUUCCUGACUUUCUCUAAAAAUGUCAAUCAAAUAAUUUGGGCAGAACCGAUGUAAUGAUGGCUGGUCAAGUGUAAUGCACCUUGUAACACAGUCUGCCUGUCACUGGAUCCAUUACCAGAGCUACAUGCUGGGCGCAGACUCCAUCAGGGCACCACACUGGGCAACAGCCAAGAGUCAAGAUAAUGAGGUGCUUCCUCAAAGUGCAUCCACAAAGAGGGUCCUCCACUGGCUUCCUCUUUCCCAACAGAGCAGAGACAUGGAGACAUUAUGUGUUUGCAUUGUCUAGUAUAAUCUUCCUGCCUAUCUUCUUGGUGUGAAGAGCAUCCACAGUUAUUGCAAAUCACAUGUUUUUCCUGAGGUUAUUUAUUUAGGAAAGUUUCAGUAUAUACAAAGAUGGUGAAAUCUGAGUGUUUGCACGCAAUAAAAAAAUACAUUUUGGCAGAGAAAAUCUCUAGAGUGAAUGAAGGAGCAAUGUUUUUUUGUUAAAUCCCUAUAGGUUACCAGUUAUUAGAGAUUCAACUCCAACCAGUUUAAGAAUAAAGGGAUUAAUUUUUUGUUCAUAGUGGGAAAAUUCAGUAAGGCAUGGCUAGAUCCAGGGAUUUAAAUAUUAUAAAAAUGUUUUCUCCUCUACCUUCUUUACUUUCCUCCCUGUUGGCUUCAUUACCUGCAGUUUUUCUCUAAGUGGUACAAAACUGGCCCCCAAAGCUAAAAGACUUUGUAUCCUUUAAUCUCCUGACCUCGGAAGGAGAGUCUGUUUCCCUGUUCCAUAUAAUCUUUGAAAUAUCAUAUGCUGGUUGUCUCUCCUUGGUUAAUAGGCCUUUUGUUUUCAAGAGGACUGGAUACACUGAUUGCCUAGCCUGACAUGUACACUUACAGGGAGGCAGGAGUCUUGCUGACAGCCCCACUAAAAUCACUUAAACUAGAGAAAGAGCAAUUCCUAUAAGAAGAAUAAAAGUACAUAUUAAUGACAGGUUUCAAAUAUUCUCUGGAAUAUGUCAUCUGUAAAUUAAAUAUUGGACUUAAUAAUUUUACGUGUGUAAAAGUUGUUUCAUGGCAUCUUUUGCUUUUAUUUCAAGGACGACUGUGAAGCCAAGCUGUUAGUCGGCAUCCUGGGAACGGCAGCACACUUACAGAAAACUAUUUUGUCAAGUUUUUGAAUCCAAAAACUUGUAUGGUCUCUGUUUCUCCAAGUCCGCCAUACAGUUGAUUCUAUGCAAGAAAAACCCAUUGCUGCCAGUAGUUUCUCAAGUUUCCAUUUUGUUUUUCAAGGCCAAGAUAAAGAGGGGAGGGAAAAAAAAGAAAAUAAAUCAAGAACUCUUCUUCUAAAAGCACAUGUGCUAAGAGAUCCAGUUCUGAAGUUGUCAUAGUGAGCAAAAGAAUGCCAAGCCUUGCAGCUCAGUGGGCCAAAUUCUGUUCUCAGCCACAUGUCCGCAGCUUCCACUGAUAUCAAUGGGAGUUGUGUGUAUAUGUGAACUGAGGACAGAAGUUGGCUGUGUAUAAAUAGCUCUGCAAUGGUGAAAAUCUCUUCUUGUGCAUCUGGUACAACAGAGGUAGUCUUUUGCAGUUAGUGGCUGCUUCCCUUUCUAGUAAAGUAACCAGGCAGUUUCAAGAAUUCCUGUAUCAGAAUAUUUGAUAGCAAUUAUUUUGUCUAGAAGAUUUCAGUCAGGGGUACAGGGAGCAGUAUUUGCCCUAAACUUCUCUCAUUUUCCAAUAGCAAAUUCAAGACAGAUUUAACAAUCAGUUGCAACACCAGCCUUCACUGUUCCUUGGCUGAGCUGUCUAUCUGCUAAUUGACUGAUUGAUAUGCAGCUAAUUGGGGGGUAGGGUGGGAAGUCAGUAUGCUCAUUAAGCAGUUAAAAACAGUGUCUAAAGCAAAGUAUUUACUUUCAGACUGGCUGUUAAUGCAGCAGAGCUGUAUGACAUAGUAGGUCUUCCACGGGAACAAGGUUCUGACCUCAUCAAGCAGGACACAGACAAAGCCCUUGGCACUGUCAGUUUGCCAUUUUGCCAGCACCCCCAGUCUGGUAGUCAGCGUUGGUGUUAGGCUGAGCCAUCUUUUCAGGGAGUCUCAGAUGAAAGUUUCUUUCAGAGCACAGAUAAGGAUAGAUUCUUUCACUAUUCAUUAGAAACAGGAGAUUUCUCCAACAUUUAUAUAUGAAGGGUUCCAGACCAUGAAAGUUACCUACAGGUAGAUGAUUUUCAAAUCCUUCUCUUCAGUCCAUGUCCCAAUUCUAAAUUCCAGACUGGCUUCUGGGCAUCUCUACCUGGCUAUCCAAUACACACCUUAAAUUCAUCCGAAGCUUAACUUUUAUUCCUGACUCAGAAAGUGUCUUCUACUUUGGUCCCUAUCUUAGCUGGAACUCCUUUCCCCUAGAACUCAAAUCCAAAAACUAUCAGUAAGCUACAAUUCCUCUCUUUCCCUUGUCCUACGUGUAAUCAAUAAUAAGCUUAGUUAAUUUUACCUAUUAAAUCUCUCUCUUUCUGUCUUCUUAUAUUGAUUCCCUGUUCCUGCCAUGGUAGAGUGAAUUAAAGCACAGGCUUUAAUGUGAUUAACAACUGGGUUUGAAUCCUACUUUUGUUAGCUUUUUGUGGGGUAUUUCUUUUUUAAGGGCACAUUUGUGUAAACUUUGGUUUCUUUGUGAGAUGGAAUGGCAUCUGCUUUGCAGAGCUAACUAACAGAGACUAAAUGGAAUUAUAUAUGUAAAGUGUUGUUAUAGUUGCUGACACAUAGCCAAGUUCCAAUAAAUGGGGGCUAUUAUAAAACAGAGACCUCAUCCUUUCUUACUCAGCCUAUGGUAGUAGUCUCUGCAUACAGUGUUGCCCCUCUUCCAUUCCCCAUUUGCAGCUGGAGCAAACUUUCUAGAUGCAAAUUAUUCCAUAUUAUACAUCCAAAUACAUUUUGUGGGACAAACAAGUCCUCAUGUCACUCAUUCUUCUAUCACUCAUCCAUCUCCAAUUGCACUCCUUCUUAGCUUAACAUGGUACUAAAUCGUACCCCCAUCUAGCCAAUUGGAAAACUAGUAUUUAUUACUUAAGGACCCAUCUUAAAAUGGUUUGUUCUCUGAAAUUUUCCCUGAUCCCACUCCAAAUAGAUUUAACACCUUCCUUAAUUCCAUCACUAUUUCUUGAAGUAUAAAACUUAUAUACAUCUACUAUAAGUUUUAUUAUACUGUAUCGGUAUUACUUGUUCCAUAAAUCUGUUUUGCAGGUCAGACUAUUCUAUGGUCUUUAAAAAUGCCAUAAAAAAGAGACAUUAAUUAAGAAUAGCUCUUUAUUGUUCUCUCCCAAGCAUUUAGCCCAGUGCUGCAUUAGUUUUCUACUGCUGCUCCAACAAAUUUAUACAAAUAUAAUGACUUGAAACAGAUGUAUUAUCCUACAAUUCUAUAGGUCAGAAGUCUGGCAUGGGUCUCACUGGGCUAAAAUCAAGGUGUCAGAAGAAGAGUUGUGUUCCUUUCUAGGGGCUCUAUAAUUUUUUUUUUUUUUUGAGACGGAGUCUCGCUGUCGCCCAGGGUGGAAUGCAGUGGCGCGAGCUCGGCUCACGGCAGGCUCCGCCCCCCGGGGUUCACGUCAUUCUCCUGCGUCAGCCUCCCGAGUAUCUGGGACUACGGGCGCCCGCCACCACGCCCGGUUAAUUUUUUUGUAUUUUUAGUAGAGACGGGGUUUCACUGUGUUUUUAGUAGAGACGGGGUUUCACUGUGUUAGCCAGGAUGGUCUCGAUCUCCUGACCUCGUGAUCCGCCCGCCUCGGCCUCCCAAAGUGCUGGGAUUACAGGCGUCAGCCACCGCGCCCGGCCUAUAAUUUUUUUUUUUAACUCCUUCACUGUUGUUGGCAGAAUUUAGUUUCUUCCUGUUACAAGGAUUGAGGUCGCCAUUUCCUUGCUGGUAGUCACCUGAGGACUGUUCCCAGAUUCUAGAGACUGCCUGCAUACCUUGGCUUAUCACCUUCCACUGCCUGCAUACCUUGGCUUAUGCCCUUUCUCCUGCAUCUUCCAAGCCAGCAAUGGUAGGGUGAGUCUCUCUGUGGCCGUUUCCCUGACCUAGUCUUUUACCUUCCUCUUCUAGUUUUAAGGAACUAGGUGAUUGGAGAGCCCAGCUAGAAAUUCCAGAAUAAUCUUGCUGUUGUAAGGUCCUUAAUCUUAAUCCGAUCAGCAAAGUCUCUUUUGUCAUAUAAGAAAACACAUUUACAGCUUCCACAGUUACGGUUAGGGUUAGGGUAUGGUCAUCUUUUGGGAUGCAUUAUUUUUCCUAUCAGCAGAGCCUAGCAUAUUUUAGAUGAUCUAUAAAUAAUGCUUGUUGAAAAAAAAUGUAUGCAGAUGAUAUUAAGUAUGUCUGUCUUUUAAGUAUAUUAGACUAUGUUUAGGGCCAUAGGUAAAUUGUAUAAUCUGGUAUUCUCAUCUGAUUUAUUUGUCAUAACUUUUCAUAAGUGUUAUUUUUUCUAGAUCUCUGCCCUGCAUGGGGCCAUGCAAAUGAAUUGUAACUAAAUAGACCAGAUGAAUUUUCUAUGACCUCCAAUUUAUCAUAUAUUAUCAACAUUAGUAAAGGCUACAGAAAACUACUAAGAGUCUCUGGUUCAGUCCUUUUUUGUUAAUACUUGCAGAAAAAUUUAUCUUUUGUAUACAAAUACAAGCUCAUACAUUCAUUCUAAAACUAUCUGAGUGUCUGUAUGUGCCAAGGUUUGUGAAACGUGGUAGGUAAAGAGUGGUGAAUUAAACAUGGUCCCUCCCUUAGAAGGCUUACAGAGUAACAGAUAGGUAACUAAAAAUUAAUUACAUCUGUAAGAUAAGCAGGUGAGGAAAGAGUAUAUUUGGGGGUAAAAUGAUAAUAGUGAAUAUAAGACAGUCUCUUUCUUUAAGGAGAUCAUAUUUAUUGCCUGGUUGGGAAUAUAAAUAUACAGGGAAAUCUUGUCAUAGCAGUGUAAUUUAAUUAAUAAUAGACAUAUCUUCAAGUUAUAGUGAUGUAUUAAGAAGGAAAAGAAUCAACUACACUUGAGUGAGGCUGGGAUGGUUUCAAAGAAUAGAAAACUGUUUUAAGUUGUGUCUUGAUAAAUAAACAGGACUUUUCCAGAUAGCCAAUUAAGGAUGGAGUAUGGAAGGUUUCUGAGGAGGAGGAAAAAACUGAGUACUCCUCCCAUUUUUAAAGGAGAGGAGGUCAGGAAUGCAUUUGUGAAUGGAGUAUCAUCUUAGCUGAGACCUGGAGGAUGAGGAGCCACUUGUUGGGUUAAGGGGAGAGUGUAGAGUUAGGAAUUUUCCAGGCAGAGAGAAUGGUAUAUGCAAAGGAUUAGAGGAAGGUGAGAAUGAGUAUCAAGUGUGAGGAACAGAGAAAAAUUCAGAAAGAUUACAGCAUAAAAAGGUGAGGAAUUGACAAGAGAUGACACUAACAAAGUGAUAAUAAAUCAGAUCAUGAAAGACUUUAAACCCCUGAAGAAGUGUGGGCAUUAUCUGAAGAACCAUGAAAAUCUAUUUGUAUGUUUUAAGCAGGGAAGUAAGAUGACAGAUUUUCAUGUUACUCUAUUCCAUUAUCCUUUAACUAACUGAGUUAGCUGUUGGUCUCCCUAUCCUCAUGACAGAACUAAUCUUAUUCUUUCCGUAUCAAAAAUUCCUCUUUCAUUAAUCAUCACAAUUUCUCUUUUUAUCUACACCAAAUAGACCAUUCGGUAUUCUUGAGAAACACUGGCUAAUCUUCUAGUCGACAAAGUCACACCCAAGGAAAGCACCAAACUUCUCUGAGGUCAAUAUUAUGUUGGAUUGUGCAGAGCCUGUUCCAUAAAGAUCUUUAUGUGCCCAACAAGCUGCAGACAACUUCUUGCAGCUCUGCAUGUGGGAGAAUAGGAAAUGGAAACUGAUAUCCACAUAUAAAGAUGAUGCAGGAAGAGGUAACCAUCCAUCACGGUUUUCCCAGAACAGGCUGAUUUGCGUCUUCUGUCCUGGCAUAAGGAUCCCUUCACUCUCGGAAGUGUUCCGGUUGGUAUGAUAAAUUACAUAAUCACUCUGAUUCAGUUUACAUAAGGAUCCCAAGUAUCACUAUUAUGCCUGCUUGGUUAUGAUGGAGUUGAAUUUUAGUAAAUUUGUAAUUUUUCUAAGUGCCUGUGGAGUGACUCACUGGAGUCUGAGGAAUGAGAUCAUCUUCCUGCAAUGAAUGAUAGUCUUGCUGAAGUCUCUACUAUUCCUGCUGGCUUCUUUUCUGCUAUAAAAUAUUUCUUCCUACAAAACGUUUCUUCUUGAGUCAGUUUUAUGGUUGAGGACACUGUCCAAGCUCAUGCCUUAGCUCCACAACUGGAAAGGAAAAUAUUCUUUCACCUCCCCUGCCAUUGCCAGUUUGAAAACAAUUGUAGGACUAGGUUCUGAUUGUUCUGGCUUAGAUCACAUGCCAAUUCCAAAGACAGUGGUCAGCGAGGUGCAGUCCCCACAUGGGCUUAGGUCAGGUGUUCACCUCUUGGCUGUUCAUUCUGCCCAGAGCAGUGAGGUCAAGUAGGAGAAUGGUAUCCCAACUUCAGACUAUGUGGAUCAAAGAGGAAAAGAAAUUUUCCUCCAAGAUUAGCAAGAUAUUAGCAAGGCUGGGCGUAGGCUGACCUGGUGGGAUGGCAGACUGGGCUGCUGGAGGAAUAGUGAUCUGUGCAGCCACUGUGAUUUGUCUUCUAUGAAGAGAUCAGUACACUGCCAAAUGCCAUAGCUAGUAAAGAAUACAGCCAGAAUUCAAUCCUAUAUCUUUUUUUUUAACCAGCAUGCCUUUAUUCUUAAGUUCCUUAUGCACAGUGUUUAGUUGUGAAAAAAUGGAAAAUAAAUGCCUGCCAAUAUAGCCUCUGAA